AGACUAUAACUACUGUAAAACUGUAUGGUGACAAAAUGAGGAGUCUGAAAUCUCAAUUAGAAGCUUACCGAGAGCUGAUGAACAAGAACAGCCAAUACUGGCAAAAUACAGCUAAGAGCCUGAGGGAAAUUAACAGUCAACUGAGCCAGGAGAAAGAAGAUCUUCUUCAUCAAAUGAAACAACAAACAGAGAAAUGGGAAGAAAAAAAGGUCAGGAUCCUUGAAAAUCUGUCUAAAAAAAUCAGUCAUCUUUACACCCA
rnacentral:lncRNA from 1 species